AACGAACGCUGGCGGCAGGCUUAACACAUGCAUGUCGAACGCAUCCUUCGGGGUGAGUGGCAGACGGGUGAGUAACGCGUGGGAACGUGCCCUUCAGUUCGGGAUAACCCAGGGAAACUUGGGCUAAUACCGGAUACGUGCGAGAGCAGAAAGAUUGAUCGCUGAAGGAUCGGCCCGGGUCUGAUUAGCUAGUUGGUGGGGUAAUGGCCCACCAAGGCUACGAUCAGUAGCUGGUCUGAGAGGAUGAUCAGCCACAUUGGGACUGAGACACGGCCCAAACUCCGACGGGAGGCAGCAGUGGGGAAUAUUGGACAAUGGGCGCAAGCCUGAUCCAGCCAUGCCGCGUGAGUGAUGAAGGCCUUAGGGUUGUAAAGCUCUUUCGUCCGGGACGAUAAUGACGGUACCGGAAGAAGAAGCCCCGGCUAACUUCGUGCCAGCCGCCGCCGUAA
rnacentral:rRNA from 1 species